rnacentral:lncRNA from 1 species
UGUGUAUAUAUACAUAUAAAACUGAAAAUCACAUUUAAUAUCUGAAUUUGAUUAAUCCCGAUUAAUCUCUAGAACCGACUAGCGCCUAGUGUUUCUUACAACACUGGGAAGAACAAUGCGUAGGAACUUACAUAAUGUGUGUCCAAAUUAUAUCGAACAUUGAGUUAACAAGUGGCAAUCCAACUAUGUGUUAAUUCUAAUUGUGUUUAAACAUUUGAAUGAGAAUGUUAAUCAAAUGCAUGUGAAUUUUAUUCAUUUUGAUGUGAUUGAUUCGACAAAUGGUUUAUACUACGCAUUAUUAGUUUAGUUAAGGAUCCUACAAUAGGUGUGCCUUACAUGGGUGGUACUCUAGGUGAAUUGUAGGAUCAAGAUAAAUCAUGUUUAUGUAGCUGAUUCACAUAUUAAGUCUAAAGCCUGAAACUAGUAGUGUUUCUUGUUUCUUAUCUUCAAAACCAAUUAAAGCGUUAUUGUAUUUUUUGUGUUUGUUGCCUCUUAAUUUUAUGGCAAACUAGUUUGGCUUACUUUAUGUGAAU